CUUCACGGUAGCAAUAGAAGCUCAAUUCUGCUGCUCUGCUUUCCCCGCCCACUGCAUCAGGCGAAAACUGAAAUAAAACUGAAGAGCAGCUUCUACCAUCCUGAGGAAAGAACCCACAAUCAUAAAGAAUUCUUGUUCAGAAAGAAAAGAACGAGAUGUGUGGGGGAAUGCAAUGAGGAAUUUACGGCAAUUAAAUAGGUAAACCCAAAGAACUCGCAGGAGACAUCGUUGCAGGAGACUCCAGGCCACUGGCAGAUGGAAAUCAGAUUUCAAAGAUGAGAUUUCGUCUGUUUUGGGUUGUUAGAGUAGGCAACACAUAAAUUACUUUUAUGCUGGCCAAUGAGCAUGGGGGUCAGUCAUAAGAAUUUGACCAAUCAUGAAUCAUAAGUGUUUGACCAAUGAGUGCUGACUUAAAAUAUGGGGAAAAUCCCCGUAAUUUGACCUAUCAUGAAGCACACUAAGCAAACGAUUGGUGAAGUGACUCAUUUUACAAGAAUAGAAAAUAAAAUUCUCAUGAACAGUUACAAUACCCAAGAGUGUUGACUUUUGUGAAUUACACAUGCCAUUGUUCUUUUAUGAGUACUUGAAUAAAAUGAUGUUAUUGUUGUAAUUUCUGACCUUUGUUUGUAUCUUUCUAUGGAUAUUCUAGACUUCAGGUCUCUUACCUUGCUUUAAAUAUUUUUAUCUAGAAACAUUGCUCAUAAUUUUACCAUGAUGGAAACAUUUGUCCAUUUUAUUUUCUUGAGUCGACUAGAUUUACUGAGGGAAUUUAUUAAAUUUAAAAAGGGGCUUUUGGUCAAAGUGUGGAUUUUUCUCAGUUUAGAUUCCCCUAACAAUGUCAGACCAUUGACCACUCAAUUAUAAUCAACUCUUCUCUCUCGCCUGCAGCACCCCAUUCAGAGGUAAUAAACUGAAGAACAGAGAAUUCUCGAAGCCAAUACAGUGCACAGGUAUUUUCUUUUCUUUUAUUUUUUCAAUGUGGGACUUUUGAGGCAUAUCCCUCAGUUUGCAGGGGGGCUCCUUGAUGAUUUACCGAUGAUUUUUCUAAGGUUUUGCUUUUUCCCCAAUUGCCGAGGUGUCUUGAUUGGGCAAAAGCUUAAAACAACAAAAACAAAACCAAGCAACAAGCGUUUGAGGAUAUAUAUAUGAUCAGGAUGAGUCCGUGCAAAAUGCCAUGAUGGUCGUUAUUUUUAAACACGGAAAUUUGAAACACCUCUCUCUCUCUCUCUCUCUCUCUCUUCUCAGUUAACAUUAAUUUGGCAGCCAAUGUAUACUUUUCAGAAAAACACUUUCUACAGAAAAACAAACGGUUUUUUCGCAAACAUUAAAGCUCAAAAAUGGAUCGGAUGAAUAGGAUGGGAGACGGUAUUUUAAACGAGAACAUAAUUCUUUCAAUAAGUGAGAAACUUCGUGUGAUCACCAUAACCUGCAAAGCAUUUGCAAUAAGUGCAUAAUUAGGUUAUUUUGGUACCNNNNNNNNNNNNNNNNNNNNUUGCACAAUUAUAGGCAUUGCGAAGAGGGUUUUCCCAGAGCAUGCUGAAAAUAAUCCCACAUCACUUCUGUUCUGUUUGAUAUUCACGGUAUCUGUACUACCAUUGUCUUCCACAUAAAUGUGGAUAAAAUAAUGUAAGUAUUCAUACUAUAUCAUGCAAUGACUUUAGGCAAUAUUUGAUUGAUGGUAAAUGUGGAGCACGACAAGUAUUCAACUAAUUUCUUCAAACUUCCAAUUCAUAGAUUUUGAUUUCAGGACUACCUGAUCCCUCACCAAUAUAACGCCAACUUAAUAUCCAAAAAUAAUUUUCAUGGCGUUUGACCAGAUGGAUACCUAAACAGCUUUCAACACAUUUCAAAUAGGGUUUUUCCUUUGCAUCAAGCAUAAUCAAAUAAGAUACAGUAAGAAAAAUGCAUGGUUUCUAUUAUUCAUAGUUUUCUUUGGUAUAUUCAACUUUCUUGGAAUGGAAAUUGUUACGAAUUCCUGCAUAAUGAGAUAUAGCAUAAUAUUUUGGACAGCUGACCAUUUAGAACUUGGAAGUUUUAUUUCAUAAGGUAAAAUAUAGCAGUUUGAGAUAUUUCUCAUUCUUUUUUAUUAAAGCAUUAAUACUUACCACACGCAUGUAUUUCUGGUUCUACCCAUGACUUUAAAUCUUGAAACUACCUUAAAUAUACAUGAGAUUUGAAGUAAGCACUGUAUCCAUGACCAUCUAUAAAAGUCCCUUUACCUUGACGUCACAAUAGGCGUGGAGCCUAUAGUUGAGUUAUUUUCUAGCUUAACCUGUAGGUUAUGUCAGAAGAUUACCAGCUGCUUGAGAUGUUGUAAUGAAUUCAUUAUGUGCCAGAAUAAAUCCAAGAAAAGAUCUCAAAAAGCUGGAUCGUGAACUCCAUUUUUUUACAUAAGAGUGGGCUUAUGACAGAAAAAAACGUAAACGAGCUCACUUUUUAAGAUGGAUUUUUGUUCGGAUCAAUCAAUUUCCCUUACCUGGUUCUAAAAUGUCGAUCACACCCUCAGUAUCAUUGAAUAAGCCCAAAUGAUAAGAAAGCUUUCGAACCAAUCUAAGAAACAAGAAGUCGUCGAAUCAAAAUGAAUAUAAUAUUCUGCACUCAAGAGAGACUAAUAACAAAUCAAUUAUAAGAUGACCUCCCAGGUAUUAAAAGCAACAAGCUAGUACAUUCAACAUGUGGAUACAUACCUGAACAAAUUGAAGAUACAUGGAAUUUUUUAUGAAUUUACAUACGGGCUUUUUCGUCAAAGUGUGGAAUUUUCUUGGUUCUUGUUUUUGUAACAGUUGAUGUAGCGUCUGCGGUAAUUUAUCAAUGGACGGUUGACCAGUCCGAGCCUAAUCACCUCUUCUCUCCCAC
rnacentral:lncRNA from 1 species